UAACCAGAAAGCCACGGCUAACUACGUGCCAGCAGCCGCGGUAAUACGUAGGUGGCAAGCGUUGUCCGGAAUUAUUGGGCGUAAAGCGCGCGCAGGCGGUCUUUUAAGUCUGAUGUGAAAGCCCACGGCUCAACCGUGGAGGGUCAUUGGAAACUGGAGGACUUGAGUGCAGAAGAGGAGAGUGGAAUUCCACGUGUAGCGGUGAAAUGCGUAGAUAUGUGGAGGAACACCAGUGGCGAAGGCGGCUCUCUGGUCUGUAACUGACGCUGAGGCGCGAAAGCGUGGGGAGCAAACAGGAUUAGAUACCCUGGUAGUCCACGCCGUAAACGAUGAGUGCUAGGUGUUGGGGGGUUCCACCCUCAGUGCUGAAGUUAACACAUUAAGCACUCCGCCUGGGGAGUACGACCGCAAGGUUGAAACUCAAAGGAAUUGACGGGGGCCCGCACAAGCAGUGGAGCAUGUGGUUUAAUUCGAAGCAACGCGAAGAACCUUACCAGGUCUUGACAUCCUCUGACAAUCCUGGAGACAGGACGUUCCCCUUCGGGGGACAGAGUGACAGGUGGUGCAUGGUUGUCGUCAGCUCGUGUCGUGAGAUGUUGGGUUAAGUCCCGCAACGAGCGCAACCCUUGAUCUUAGUUGCCAGCAUUCAGUUGGGCACUCUAAGGUGACUGCCGGUGACAAACCGGAGGAAGGUGGGGAUGACGUCAAAUCAUCAUGCCCCUUAUGACCUGGGCUACACACGUGCUACAAUGGACGGUACAAAGGGCAGCAACACCGCGAGGUGAAGCGAAUCCCAUAAAGCCGUUCUCAGUUCGGAUUGCAGGCUGCAACUCGCCUGCAUGAAGCCGGAAUUGCUAGUAAUCGCG
rnacentral:rRNA from 1 species